rnacentral:misc_RNA from 1 species
AAAACCAGAUGGCAAUGGCAAUGGAGUUCAUUACUCGGGAAACCAUCAAACCAUCCUCUCCAACCCCAAUUCACCUCAGGAAUUUCAAGCUCUCCCUUCUUGAUCAGCUUGCUCCUGUGUGUUAUGGAUCUCUGCUUCUCUUCUACUCUAUAAAUGCCCAAAUCAAUCACCACCUUACACUUUCAGAAAGAUCCCAGCUUUUGAAGACAU